CCCUAUCAGCAGCAGGAGCAGCAGCAACAUUGUACCCAUCAGUCCAAUAGGCGGGAUUAAUGCACCUGUAAGCUGAUUUGUCAAACGCCAUCAGGCCCCGAAGAAGAACGGAGGAGGACAGCACUACUGUGGUAGAGGAGCGGUGUGUGUGCAGACAUGGCUGCUGUUGAUGAAGCGGACUGAACUUGGAGGAGAGACACAAACUGAAGUAUUGAUCCCGUCACAUCAGUGUGGAUCUGAUACCAACGUCUGGAUCGCUUCAUCGAUGCUUGUAUCGAUCCGCUCAGCCUGAGUUGAAGCAGCGAUGAGUUCAGCUCAGUAUCUGAGAGAGUUCAUCAAGAAGAGACUAACUGCUGUUUGUGAAGAAAUCUUCUCAGAGGUUCAAAAAACCAUCGUCCAGUAUGAGGAGGAGAUCAACAAUCAGCACAGACUGCUGGAUAUCAGCCGGAAACCCGACAGAAACUCACACAUCAUAGACCUCCCACAACAACAUGACUGUGAGGAAGAGGAGGGUCU